CUUUUUUGUUGUUGGACUAUACCGUUAAAAUCAGUAGGCUCCAGUGUUGUUUGGUUCUCAAAGUUUUUUCCUUCCACAGAAGAGUCAUUAUGGUUUGAAUGACAUGAGGCUGAAUAAAUGUUGACAGAAUAUUCAUUUAUGGGUAAACUAUCCCUAUAAGCAAUUUGCUCUGUAUGUAAUUUGAAAAGAGAAUAAAUGGAUUUCAGUUGUGUUUUCAUGUAGGGAGUGAUGAAGAAAAAUCCAAGGGAAGGAGUAACCGCAUAAGUGAAACAGAAAUAGAUGAAAUGGGAAGAAUAGGGAAUCUGUGAGUGAGGAAACAAGACAGUGAGCGAGCUGGUGAAUGAGAGCGAGGGAGGGAGAGAUAGGCAGAAGGAACUUGUUGCCCCUGGUUGGUGUUGUGUAAGACUUGGCUGGCUGUAGCAGAAUAACACUCUUAUUCUCUCAGUGCUUUGAACUCUGGUACCCUACAGCUCCGACCACCCCUCUUUGCAACAGCAAGAACUCACAUUGAGGUCCCUCUCUCUUUCUCUCUCUCUCUGUCUCUCUCUCGCUCUCUCUCUGUGUCUAUUUCACUCUCCCCUUUCCUGACUGUGUCGCAGUCCCUCUCUCUUUCUCUCUCUCUCUGUCUCUCUCUCGCUCUCUCUCUGUGUCUAUUUCACUCUCCCCUUUCCUGCUGUGUCGCACUUCUCUUUCUCUUUCCUUAAGUCGUACCUCUGCUUCAUUCUCAUUUGUCUUUCACUUUCUCCCACAUGUGCUUGUCUGCUUCAGAUGUGCUGCUGUACCUUUUUGCAUUUGUAGAAAGUUUAUGAUAUUUUUUUCUGUCCUGUUGGACUGAGAACAGGCGUGUACGGCUUCAUCAGCUGUGUCGUCACGUGUGAUGCUACCGGCUCUACACCGACCGGAUCUGGACUGCACAUGAGCCACAUAGCUGGAGGGUGUAUGGUGUGGGAACGGAGAUGGGGGAUGUCCCUGCGUUCUUCACAGCCCGGGCAGCCAGGCUGUCAGGGACAGGCCCUGGUGGUGAAGCCUGUGAGGAGUUUGCAGAGAUGUCCCGCUCAACAAUGGUAAGAGCCAUCAGAUCUUUGCCAUCUGAACAGACUUUGGGAUCUGAGAGAAUUCUUACCCGUCUUUCUAUCUCAUAUCUAUGUCAUGGAUCACCUCUGGGCGUUUUCCCAAACCCUUUCUGGAAUUUAUUUUCAGUGCUGCAAGAAAAACAAUGA
rnacentral:lncRNA from 1 species